UGAGCAGGGGGUUGGACUACAUGACCUCCUGAGGUCCCUUCCAACCCUGCUAUUCUAUGAUCCUGGGCAUGUGCUACUUAAGUCAUGUUAUGCAUAUGCUAAGAAGAAGAUUCCAGCAACGAUUCCAGCCUCUGCUAACAUUAGCCUGCUUCAGUAGCCCUUGUUAAAUUCAGUUUGCAAACAAAACUAAAACCAAAGCAAUUACAUUAGUCCUUAUGACAGGUUCAAUAUCUAUUCACCUUUCUCAAAUGCUCUGUUGAAUGAAAGAUUCAACUGCAUCAGGAAAUUCCUCUUUUCUUGUAAGAGGUUCAAGAUGUUAUCUUAAAGCCUCAGCAUUCCAGGGAGUUGUGGACUUUACACACAGACCUCAGACAUGCUCUGUUUUCAGUCUUGGACUUGACUCACCAGGAUACUCAUAUGACGCAUGAGGAUCAGAGGGUAAGUGAUCUCGGAAGCAUUACAGUGUUAAGGAAAAGUUAGCACAUGUGACUCCAUUUUGGUUUGGGGCCCACCAUUGUUUAAAUGCCAGCACAUCAUACACCAGGAGGAGUGAUCCUGAGAUACUGAAUCCCUGUGAAAAUCCUCCUCCUUGUCUCCAGCCUGCCUUGACUCCCAGUAUCUGGUUUUUGUCAGUCUCUAACUCCCUGUCUCUUGGCCUUGAUGUGAGGCCUCCCAUCCUGAUAAUAAAGGUUACUGAUGCAUGGCUUUAGGACCAUGCUGUGUAAUUAACAUACUGGUAUAGCACGAGGAAUGCACCAAGCAGGGAUAGGUGGUAGAUAAGACAAGGGUUCGUUUAUUGGCUAAGGUUUCCGAUGCACGAGGGCAACAUGCUUUGCUAAAAAGUAUGUAACCUUUGUAUAAUUUGUAUUAGGGUCCCCCCAUGGCUAGCAGGGGGGCUCCACGCUCGAGCGUAAUAAACUUAGUGUCUUUUGGGAA